rnacentral:rRNA from 1 species
AUUGAACGCUGGCGGCAUGCUUUACACAUGCAAGUCGAACGGUAACAGGCCGCAAGGUGCUGACGAGUGGCGAACGGGUGAGUAAUGCAUCGGAGCGUGCCCAGUCGUGGGGGAUAACGCAGCGAAAGCUGCGCUAAUACCGCAUACGAUCUAUGGAUGAAAGCGGGGGACCGUAAGGCCUCGCGCGAUUGGAGCGGCCGAUGUCAGAUUAGGUAGUUGGUGGGGUAAAGGCUCACCAAGCCAACGAUCUGUAGCUGGUCUGAAAGGACGACCAGACACACUGGGACUGAGACACGGCCCAGACUCCUACGGGAGGCAGCAGUGGGGAAUUUUGGACAAUGGGCGCAAGCCUGAUCCAGCCAUGCCGCGUGUCUGAAGAAGGCCUUCGGGUUGUAAAGGACUUUUGUCCGGGAGCAAAUACCCAGUGCUAAUAACGCUGGGGGCUGAGAGUACCGGAAGAAUAAGCACCGGCUAACUACGUGCCAGCCGCCGCCGUAAUAC